rnacentral:rRNA from 1 species
CCUACGGGCGGCAGCAGUGGGGAAUAUUGGACAAUGGGGGGAACCCUGAUCCAGCCAUGCCGCGUGUGUGAAGAAGGCCCUCGGGUUGUAAAGCUCUUUCAGUGAGGAAGAACGCCUGGUGGUUAAUACCCAUCAGGAAAGACAUCACUCACAGAAGAAGCACCGGCUAACUCCGUGCCAGCAGCCGCGGUAAUACGGAGGGUGCGAGCGUUAAUCGGAAUUACUGGGCGUAAAGCGCGCGUAGGUGGCUUGAUAAGCCGGUUGUGAAAGCCCCGGGCUCAACCUGGGAACGGCAUCCGGAACUGUCAAGCUAGAGUGCAGGAGAGGAAGGUAGAAUUCCCGGUGUAGCGGUGAAAUGCGUAGAGAUCGGGAGGAAUACCAGUGGCGAAGGCGGCCUUCUGGACUGACACUGACACUGAGGUGCGAAAGCGUGGGUAGCAAACAGGAUUAGAUACCCCGGUAGUC